rnacentral:rRNA from 1 species
GUGUCAGCCGCCGCGGUAAUACAGAGGGUGCAAGCGUUAAUCGGACUUACUGGGCGUAAAGCGCGCGUAGGUGGCCAAUUAAGUCAAAUGUGAAAUCCCCGAGCUUAACUUGGGAAUUGCAUUCGAUACUGGUUGGCUAGAGUAUGGGAGAGGAUGGUAGAAUUCCAGGUGUAGCGGUGAAAUGCGUAGAGAUCUGGAGGAAUACCGAUGGCGAAGGCAGCCAUCUGGCCUAAUACUGACACUGAGGUGCGAAAGCAUGGGGAGCAAACAGGAUUAGAUACCCCCGUAGUCC